GUGCUGAGUAGAAGCGUUCAGCACACCACGGCCCUGGCCGUGCCGCUGGAAAUUGCUCACCCC
rnacentral:ncRNA from 1 species